rnacentral:rRNA from 2 species
CAUCCUCCAAGGCUAAAUACUCCUGACUGACCGAUAGUGAACCAGUACCGUGAGGGAAAGGCGAAAAGAACCCCGGCGAGGGGAGUGAAAAAGAACCUGAAACCGUGUACGUACAAGCAGUGGGAGCACAGGUUUACCUGUGUGACUGCGUACCUUUUGUAUAAUGGGUCAGCGACUUAUAUUCUGUAGCAAGGUUAACCGUAUAGGGGAGCCGUAGGGAAACCGAGUCUUAACCGGGCGUUAAGUUGCAGGGUAUAGACCCGAAACC